GAGAAGAUAACUCAAUAAAAGUUCACACGGUUCAGUUAUCGCGGGUUAACCUGGCGGUCGAGUUGCUACGUUACGGCGGCUGUUGUCCGUACAUGCUGUCCGCGCAAAGCGAAACCAAAACAUGAAACGUUUUGAAAUGAAACCUCUCGAAAACGACAACGUCUGUGGAAUCGGAUCGUAACAUUAACACGAAUUUACUUUUCCUCCCGAUUCGCCUGUUGCUCAGAUAAGUUGCCCAAAGACGUUAACUACAGCCACUACCAAAUGCAAAAUACCACAGCUAACGUAGCCCUUUUAACUAGCUUGUUUAUUAUAACCGUCUAAUAAUUGGGAUAUGCAAGCAAAUAACGGCGUGAUUAAUUCACCAGGAACAGAGCAACUUUGCAGGGAUGCGUUAUUUUCAUGUUCUGCUUCACAGUGGCGCAACGCAGCACUGUGUGACGAGACGUUAGCGGACAGCUUCCUGCCAGUGUGUGUGUGUGUGUGUGUCAUAGCACCAUUACCUUAGCUAGCGCUCGCCCUCCACCCCAAGCCAUAGCAACACGACCCUAGCUAGCGCCCGCGCUGCACCAACGGUCAUAGUAGCACUACCUAAGCUCGCACUCGCUUUUUACAGCCAGUCAUAGCAACACCGGGUUAGCAAAGCGCUCGCUCUGCACCGCCAGUCAUAGCAACCCACCUCAUCAACUGUCCUCCUGGGAAGAUGCAGCAUACCAAGCAGGAGUUUCAGCUUCACCGGAGGCGACAAACUGGAAAAACACAGCCUUAUGUUGUCGAUAACUGAAACGGUUAGGAGAGAAGCAAUGCUAGAAGGUGCCCAAAGUUCGUCUGUUGAGCCUAAUUUAUUAUGAAGCCACAGGCCAGUGUCGCUAUCCUUCAUCGACGCCAUCUUGGAAAAAGAAGCGCUUUGAGGUCGGGCAUUUUAACAGGCCACCUAAGAAAACAUUAGUUAGGACCCCACCCACACGAGCGUACAGCCACCAGCCACACGCGCUCUCUGCUCCCUCAAUGAAAAAUCGGGAGUAUUUAGGAUAUUUAUUUUAAAUAACCAGGACUUUUCAGAAGAAGCUUUUAGAUGAUUAUCUAUUUGUGUGUCUCCGAUUCAAUAAAAAAAUAUACAAAUAUUUGGAUUUUUUCUUUAACACAACCAAGAAAGUAUCAAACAAGUAUCAUUGCAAUGACCAAAAAUAUGUAUGUAAUGUAUUGUAAUUUUGUGAUAUGGAAUUUUGUUUGAAGGCAGUACAUAUUGCUGAUGCUUGCCGUUUUAAUAAAAGAUGACUCCAAUGCUUUCAAUAAAAUAAGGUGCGACGAAUGUUAUCUUUCGUAUACGCAUGCGCGCUUUUCGACCUGUACAAUACAAUUCGACGUUGCCAUUUAGUACAGGCCCCGUUUUCCAUAAAAUCCCAAUCGUUAUUCUCGCUAUGGCAUCAACCGGGUAUUAUCAGACGGUGGUGAUUCUACUGGCGGCCCAGCUGCUUCUCUGUUAUGGGGCAACUGAUGCUGACCAGGAUACGGGGACCGUUAUCCCGGCCGAAAGUCGCCCAUGCGUGGAUUGCCACGCAUUUGAGUUUAUGCAGAGAGCACUGCAAGACCUAAAAAAGACUGCUUUCAACCUCGAUGCAAGG